CUGAAAGAUGGCCUCGCGUCUGAUUAGCUAGUUGGUGGGGUAACGGCCCACCAAGGCGACGAUCAGUAGCCGGACUGAGAGGUUGACCGGCCACAUUGGGACUGAGAUACGGCCCAGACUCCUACGGGAGGCAGCAGUGGGGGAUAUUGCACAAUGGGGGAAACCCUGAUGCAGCAACGCCGCGUGAAGGAAGACGGUUUUCGGAUUGUAAACUUCUGUUCUUAGUGACGAUAAUGACGGUAGCUAAGGAGAAAGCUCCGGCUAACUAC
rnacentral:rRNA from 1 species